CCUACGGGGCGCACCAGUAGGGAAUCUUCGGCAAUGGACGAAAGUCUGACCGAGCAACGCCGCGUGAGUGAAGAAGGUUUUCGGAUCGUAAAACUCUGUUGUUAGAGAAGAACAAGGACGUUAGUAACUGAACGUCCCCUGACGGUAUCUAACCAGAAAGCCACGGCUAACUACGUGCCAGCAGCCGCGGUAAUACGUAGGUGGCAAGCGUUGUCCGGAUUUAUUGGGCGUAAAGCGAGCGCAGGCGGUUUCUUAAGUCUGAUGUGAAAGCCCCCGGCUCAACCGGGGAGGGUCAUUGGAAACUGGGAGACUUGAGCGCAGAAGAGGAGAGUGGAAUUCCAUGUGUAGCGGUGAAAUGCGUAGAUAUAUGGAGGAACACCAGUGGCGAAGGCGGCUCUCUGGUCUGUAACUGACGCUGAUGUGCGAAAGCGUGGGGAUCAAACAGGAUUAGAUACCCGGGUAGUC
rnacentral:rRNA from 1 species